rnacentral:rRNA from 1 species
GAUGAACGCUGGCGGCGUGCCUAAUACAUGCAAGUCGAGCGAACAGAUGAGGAGCUUGCUCCUCUGACGUUAGCGGCGGACGGGUGAGUAACACGUGUAUAACCUACCUAUAAGACUGGUAUAACUUCGGGAAACCGGAGCUAAUACCGGAUAAUAUAUUGAACCGCAUGGUUCAAUAGUGAAAGACGGUUUUGCUGUCUCUUAUAGAUGGAUCCGCGCCGCUUUAUCUAGUUGGUAAGGUAACGGCUUACCAAGGCAACGAUGCGUAGCCGACGUGAUAGGGUGAUCGGCCACACGGGAACUGAGACACGGUCCAGACUCCUACGGGAGGCAGCAGUAGGGAAUCUUCCGCAAUGGGCGAAAGCCUGACGGAGCAACGCCGCGUGAGUGAUGAAGGUCUUCGGAUCGUAAAACUCUGUUAUUAGGGAAGAACAAAUGUGUAAGUAACUAUGCACGUCUUGACGGUAACUAAUCAGAAAGCAACGGCUAACUACGUG